rnacentral:rRNA from 1 species
CGUCAGACCUGCCCACUGAUUUAUUUAAUGGCCGCGGUAUUUUGACCGUGCAAAGGUAGCAUAGUAAUUUGUCUUUUAAUUGAAGGCUUGUAUGAAUGGUUGGACGAGAAAACUACUUUCUUUAUAAUAAAAUUGUUAAUUUUAUUUUUUAGUUAAAAAGCUAAAAUGUUGUUGUAGGACGAGAAGACCCUAUAGAACUUUAUAUUUAUUUUUUUAUUAAUAUUUUUGGUUAAUAAUAUGUUGUAUCUUUAUAAAUAUUUUGUUGGGGCGACAAGAAAAUUUAUUUAACUUUUUUUAUUAAUUUCAUUAAUUAAUGUAUAAAUGAUCCUUUAUUAUGGAUAAUUAGAAUAAGUUACCUUAGGGAUAACAGCGUAAUUUUUUUGGAGAGUUCUUAUCGAUAAAAAAGUUUGCGA